GGCCUCGGUGUGGAGCUGAUCAGUGUCGUCCUCAGGGUUCAGUUCCCUCGCUGCAGUGUGAUGGCCAACAUCAAGGGGACUGAUAUUUACAAAGAUAGAAAGGACUAUAUCAGUAUAUACGAGCCAGAGGGAGUGAUGAUCUUCAGGAUCCCGUCGCCAAUC